GGAGGGUUGCCGGAGUGGUUAACGGAGCAGUUUGCUAAACUGUCGACUUUCGGGUCGCAUGAGUUCGAAUCUCAUACCCUCCG
rnacentral:tRNA from 2 species